rnacentral:rRNA from 1 species
UACGUAGGGGGCAAGCGUUGUCCGGAUUUAUUGGGCGUAAAGCGCUCGCAGGUGGUUCGUUGCGUCGUGCGUGAAAGACCCCGGCUCAACUGGGGAGCGUCGUGCGAUACGGGCGGACUGGAGGCCAGUAGGGGGAUGCGGAAUUCCGGGUGUAGUGGUGGAAUGCGUAGAGAUCCGGAGGAACACCAGCGGCGAAGGCGGCAUCCUGGACUGGUCCUGACACUCAUGAGCGAAAGCGUGGGGAGCGAACAGG